rnacentral:rRNA from 1 species
UACGUAGGGGGCAAGCGUUGUCCGGAAUCAUUGGGCGUAAAGAGCGUGUAGGCGCCAGAAAAGUCCGCUGUGAAAACUCGAGGCUCAACUUCGAGCUGUCGGUGGAAACUUUCUGGCUAGAGUCCGGAAGAGGAGAAUGGAAUUCCUGGUGUAGCGGUGAAAUGCGCAGAUAUCAGGAGGAACACCGGUGGCGAAGGCGGGUCUCUGGGCCAUUACUGACGCUGAGGAGCGAAAGCGUGGGGAGCGAACAGG